GCUGAGUGCAGCUGCAGACGCUCAGCGCGAGCUGGGGAAAGCGCUUAUCUCCUAGGGUCCCCUGCGCUGCUGGCGCUCUCCGAAGCAACCUUGGCAAAACCAGGAGCCUUGUUGAGAAUACAAACAGGAUGAGCUCACCCUCCUUUCCCAUCCCUGCACUGACAAGCACCUGGGGGUGGUGCCUGAAAAUCCUUUCGCGAAACUACGUAGCAGCCCACGCAAGCAGACCUGGCAUCUGCAUUUUUAAUAAGCAUCUGUUCAUGAAGAUACAAGAAUUUGUCUGUCUGCAAAGUAGGAAGAAUGCCCUCAUCAGAAACAGAAUCUGUUGGCAACCUGAUCUUGGACUCCCCAGCUUCCAAAACUAGAGAGAAGGAGCACCCCGAACAGUCUUGGUGACACAAUCCACCCCCAGCUUCAACUGACCCUAAAUCACGGGCACGUGCGUGCUGGCAUACUUAGGGAGUUCUCUGGACAUGAACCCAGGACCUUCCCGGGUAGGUCAGCUUCACAAAACAUUGCUUUUCAGUGCUGUGCCAUCAUCUGGCCGCCCACAAAUCGUGUUUUAAUGGAAAGUUUGCUAAAGAGGAAGAGCCAGGAGUGUCAUUCUAGAAAAUAAAUUCAAC